UAACGGCUUACCAAGCCAUUGAUCGGUACGGGUUGUGAGAGCAAGAGCCCGGAGAUGGAACCUGAGACAAGGUUCCAGGCCCUACGGGGUGCAGCAGGCGCGAAACCUCCGCAAUGUGAGAAAUCGCGACGGGGGGAUCCCAAGUGCCAUUCUUAACGGGAUGGCUUUUCAUUAGUGUAAAGAGCUUUUGGAAUAAGGGCUGGGCAAGACCGGUGCCAGCCGCCGCGGUAACACCGGCAGCUCUAGUGGUAGCAGUUUUUAUUGGGCCUAAAGCGUCCGUAGCCGGUUUAAUAAGUCUCUGGUGAAAUCCUGUAGCUUAACUGUGGGAAUUGCUGGAGAUACUAUUAGACUUGAGACCGGGAGAGGUUAGAGGUACUCCCAGGGUAGAGGUGAAAUUCUGUAAUCCUGGGAGGACCGCCUGUUGCGAAGGCGUCUAACUGGAACGGUUCUGACGGUGAGGGACGAAAGUUAGGGGCGCGAACCGGAUUAGAUACCCGGGUAGUCCUAACCGUAAACGAUGCGGACUUGGUGUUGGGGUGGCUUUGAGCUGCUCCAGUGCCGAAGGGAAGCUGUUAAGUCCGCCGCCUGGGAAGUACGGUCGCAAGACUGAAACUUAA
rnacentral:rRNA from 1 species